UAGCUUGCUACAUUUGAAUUGAUUGAGUCGCGAACGGGUGAGUAACGCGUAGGUAACCUACCUUAUAGCGGGGGAUAACUAUUGGAAACGAUAGCUAAUACCGCAUAAGAGUUGGCAACACAUGUUGUUAAUUUAAAAGGAGCAAUUGCUUCACUAUGAGAUGGACCUGCGUUGUAUUAGCUAGUUGGUAAGGUAACGGCUUACCAAGGCAUCGAUACAUAGCCGACCUGAGAGGGUGAUCGGCCACACUGGGACUGAGACACGGCCCAGACUCCUACGGGAGGCAGCAGUAGGGAAUCUUCGGCAAUGGGGGGAACCCUGACCGAGCAACGCCGCGUGAGUGAAGAAGGUUUUCGGAUCGUAAAGCUCUGUUAUAAGCGAAGAACGGGAGUAAGAGUGGAAAGUUUACUCUGUGACGGUAGCUUAUCAGAAAGGGACGGCUAACUACGUGCCAGCAGCCGCGGUAAUACGUAGGUCCCGAGCGUUGUCCGGAUUUAUUGGGCGUAAAGCGAGCGCAGGUGGUUUAAUAAGUCUGAAGUUAAAGGCAUUGGCUCAACCAAUGUACGCUUUGGAAACUGUUAAACUUGAGUGCAGAAGGGGAGAG
rnacentral:rRNA from 1 species